AUGCAUUCCGUGAACGUGUACGAAAGUGAGGAUGAGCGACGCCAUGGCCAUGAUGACACACGCGAACUGCAGAACUUGGAUUGGCCCUUCUUGAUUAAGGGCAUUUUGGAGAGCCCAUCAUGCACAACAACAACACCGGACACUGUGGCCGCGCUGCUGUGGACAAUUACGGCGGUGUUUGGUAUUGUUUACGCGCUGCUCGGCUACCGCUGUCUGCGAGCGGUGGGUUUCUUAAGCGGUCUGAUGGUCGGUGCAAACGCCAUUUUCAUGUUGCAGGACUUUCAUGUAACGCUGCUCGGCAAACCAGCCGAUUCGGCACUAGCGAUCGUGGCGGGCUUAUUGGGUGCCGUGAUCGGUUCGACAUACCCCGUAGCAUCGAUACUGAUUAGCGCAUUCGCGGGCGCACUGGUCGCUGGCGCAGCGAUGGCCGUGUGUGUGGCCACAAUGCCAGACAAUGACUUUGGCUAUCGCGAAAUUUAUGUGGCUAUCGCGGGUGGCGCUGUUAUUUGCUCGGUGCUGACGUUCUGCUGCGCCAAAUAUGUGACCAUACUGACUUCGAGCAUCGUUGGCAGCGCGAUGAUUAUUACCGCUAUCGAUUUUUUCAUGCACAACCUAGACACGAUAAAUUGGAUUUUAAAUAUGAAACCGAAUCCGCUGCCACCGCCUUGUUACGGCGGCAUUUUGAUAUGCUCUUGGCCGGUGGCAAUCAUCAUCAGCAUAAUGGUGCAGUGCUUCAUCACGGCCUGGCGUGUGGAUCAUCGCAAGCGCGUCUACCUGCGGCAUCACCACCAAAUGGCACGCUGCGGUGCCGGCGGCUUGCCGACGAAUCGCAUGAGCGGACGACCGCGCGAAACUCGCGAAGAGGCCAGUCAACGCAAGUACCGCUAUCUGUAUCAGGUGCGCACAGCGCGCGGCGACAUUAUUUCACAGAACUUCGUGUCAGCAUUGCAGAAGCGCAUACAACUGGGCGGCACGGAAACGCCCUCGGAACGCUCGAUUAAGACGAGUUCGAACGAACGCAAUACAUUUCGCAGCGAUCGCACACACUUCACCACCAUACCCGAUUCCGAAAUGUGCGACAAAAUCGAAAUUGUGCGUGAUCUAGGAUAACAAACAAGCAACAGUUACAUGUAAGCGGCGAAUGUGCGAGGGAAACGGAAACGUAUAAGAGACGCGUAGAGCUUGCUUGUGGUUAUCCGAAGAAUCGCGUAUGUGUGCGCGUGUGCGACGAUCGUUGUGCGUGUAUGUAUAAUGGGAAAUUGUUAAAUUGCCAAUGCAACAACUACAGCUAAGUGAUAAAAUGCAACGUUGCGUUUGAUGGGCGUGUAAAUAAAACUUGACAAAGCUUAAUUUAAUGAAGUGCAGGAGGGAGCGAAGGAGACGAGUGCAUGCGAAGUAAUGCAUGAAAAAAAAGGAGCGAAAAUGUCCACAGUCAGCAAAGUAAAAUUAAAAUACUGGCCUCUAGAACACUAAAUUUUGUAAAUUUAACGAGCAAAAGCUGAAUACAUAGAAAACUUAGGAAACCAAAACUGUUUUGGUGAAUUAUUAAAGCAUUUUGAGUAAGAAAAUUCAGGUAUAACACGAAAAUAACAAAAAUUCUACGUUAAAAUGUUCAACAUUAUUUUCAAGUACAAGCAAAUUUUAGACACUAGCUUCUAAGUUCCUCUUUAGUAAGUACUGACAAGGAAAACGUUAUAUGUAUGUAUGUAUGCGCUUAGGAUAUGAUCUAAAAUUAAUUGUGUUACAGGGUUUAACAGGCUUUAACUUACAAAGUACGUUCAUUUUUAACCGUUUUGUUGAACUUAACUAAAGAAUUAAUUUAGAUAUUUACUAAGUUACAGAAAAUAAGUUUAUAAAAACAAAUAAGUUAAUGAAAAAAAAUUAUAAAAAAAUUUAUAAAAAAUAAGUUUAUAGAAAAUACGUGACUAAUUAGUUGCCAAACAACUAAAACUGACUAGCUAUUUGAUUUGUGCGUAUGUGUGAAAUAAUUAUGUAUUUUCAUGCGUCUAUUUGCUUUUCUUUCAAAUUAUUAUUUUCUAUUUGUAAAGUACUAUUUUUUAUUUUCAAAUUAUUAUUUUUUAUUUUUUUGCGACAUUAUCGAGUUUUGUGUGAAGAUUAAAAAGAUCACUAGUUUUAAAAAAUAUCUUGUGUAUAAAAAACCGG
rnacentral:misc_RNA from 1 species